GGCUCCCUACGGGGCGCAGCAGUGAGGAAUAUUGGUCAAUGGGAGAGAUCCUGAACCAGCCAAGCCGCGUGAGGGAAGACGGCCCUAUGGGUUGUAAACCUCUUUUGUCGGAGAACAAAACCCGGGACGUGUCCCGGACUGCGUGUACCCGAAGAAAAAGCAUCGGCUAACUCCGUGCCAGCAGCCGCGGUAAUACGGAGGAUGCGAGCGUUAUCUGGAUUUAUUGGGUUUAAAGGGUGCGUAGGCGGUCCGUUAAGUCAGCGGU
rnacentral:rRNA from 1 species